rnacentral:misc_RNA from 1 species
ACAAGUUAUCCCAGCUGGUGGAAGAAAUUAGGCACAUUGACUCAUUAGUCAUCCAUAAACAUGUGCAGAGACUUAGGUAAUAUUGGAUGAGAAUGUUGCUCUACAUUAUGGUACGUAUAGGUGCUGGGCUCUCUUUGGGAGAGGAAGAUGUGCUGGGUUUCUUUAUGGCAUCGUGGUUCUCAUGUCUCUUGGAGGCUUACCUUUUGCCAUGGAGGAAAAAAAAAGGGGCACAUCUGUGAUUUUGGCA